rnacentral:rRNA from 1 species
GCGAGUCGAAUGUAGCAAUACAUGGCGUACUGCUCAGUAACACGUGGACAACCUGCCCUUAGGUUGGGUAUAAACCCGGGAAACUGGGUAUAAUCCCCUAUAAGUCUCGGCUGCUGGAAUGCACCGAGAUUAAAAGCUCCGGCGCCUAAGGAUGGGUCUGCGGCCUAUCAGGUAGUAGUGGGUGUAGCGUACCUACUAGCCUACGACGGGUACGGGUUGUGAGAGCAAGAGCCCGGAGAUGGAUUCUGAGACACGAAUCCAGGCCCUACGGGGUGCAGCAGGCGCGAAAACUUUACAAUGCUGGCAACAGCGAUAAGGGAACCUCGAGUGCCAGGUUACAAAUCUGGCUGUCGAGAUGCCUAAAAAGCAUUUCAUAGCAAGGGCCGGGCAAGACCGGUGCCAGCCGCCGCGGUAACACCGGCGGCUCGAGUGGUAACCGUUAUUAUUGGGUCUAAAGGGUCUGUAGCCGGCCGGAUAAGUCUCUUGAGAAAUCUGGCAGCUUAACUGUCAGGCUUUCAGGAGAUACUGUCUGGCUCGAGGCCGGGAGAGGUGAGAGGUACUUCAGGGGUAGGGGUGAAAUCUUGUAAUCCUUGAAGGACCACCAGUGGCGAAGGCGUCUCACCAGAACGGACCUGACGGCAAGGGACGAAAGCUAGGGGCACGAACCGGAUUAGAUACCCGGGUAGUCCUAGCCGUAAACGAUACUCGCUAGGUGUCGGCCACGGUGCGACCGUUGUCGGUGCCGUAGGGAAGCCGUGAAGCGAGCCACCUGGGAAGUACGGCCGCAAGGCUGAAACUUAAAGGAAUUGGCGGGGGAGC